UGUAAACUUAAAAUCGGUUAGUGCCAUUUUCACGAUGAUCCAUGUUAUCUAAAGAUUUUGUUUGCUCGCUGACCCAUCGUGAAAUUUAGUGUUGAAUUAUUUCUUUAACAUGUGAAAAUUACAUGACAUAUUCCUUAUUCUUAUAUAUUAAAUUUGUUAUUGAUUUUUUCACUAUAAUAUAUCAUAUAUACAGAUUUCAUUUGUUUGGUGACCCAGAGCAAAAUGUUGUGUAGGACAAUUUAUCAUUUGCCAUCACUGGUCAAAAAUGUGGCUUUAAGGGUCAUUUUGGUACUUAAUGAAGAAUGGAUGAAAAUAACAAUAUAAAAGUUUAAUUUUUGUAUAUAUCGUAUAAAAAGCGAUAUUCUCGUGACAUAUAUCAUGUCUAGAGACUACCAAUUUACACUUACCCAUAGAAAAUUUGAGGUAGAAAAUUUCUCCCAUUGGCAUCUUAUCCCUAAAAUGUGGUAUUCAGGCUAUAUUAACUUAAAUCCAAAUACCCUGACCCUGAGGGCUAAUUUUCGUGGUAUAUAUCCAGUCUAGAGACUUACUAUUUUCACAGGCCCACAGUAAAUUUGAUAUAUGAAAUUUCUUCCGUUGACAAGUUUUCCAGAAAUUGUCGUCGGACUGUUUCAAAACAAUUCCAAAAAUCAAAAAAAAAAAAUCAAAAAAAUUAAAAAAAAUAAAUUUAACGCCUUCGAAAAAUUAUCAAUCGCCAUUGAAGUUGACAAAUUUCAUAAUUAGGUCCGGCUUUGUUAUUUGUUUUGAGCCCAAACAUUUUUCAAUUUCUUUAGCCUUGAAUCGGACGUAAAUCUUUCGGUCUCUUGAUUUGCCGUUAAGAAAACAAUUAGACGCGGAAAACUGUAACAAUUCAAUCAGUAUAGGAUGGGCAAUGCUAGAAAAUGAUUGCGAUUGCGAUUUGUCGUUCCCGUAUAAGCUGGCUGUCAAUGGUUGUCAUUGCUGAAGAAAAAAAUUGAAUAAAACGCGAAAUUUUUGAGAUAUGGCGGAUUUGGGGCCGCAUUGAAGAAUUUCAAAGAAAACCAUUCUAAGUUAAAGAAGAUUCGAUAUUUACAAAGAAGAAAUCCCAAUAGUUCUAAUAGCAUUGGAUCGGCUCCCAUUGGGACACUUAUACGUUUCUUUUGUUCGAUGACCUAUAGUCGAAUUCGCUGAAGAAGAUUUUCUCCAUUUUUGCCGACCCUCUAACUGGAACCAUAAUGGUAGUUUUUGGUUACAAUUUAUUGUUCACGUUUAUAUAAACCCAAACUUCAAUAAUUAUAACCAUUUAACAUUUUUAAAUUUGUUAUUGCUGCUUUCACUAUUAUUCGUGAUAUAUACAGAAUUUUCUUGUUCGCUGACCCACAAUAAAAUUUUAUAUAGAAUCAUUAUUAGUAAUUUCGGUAACAUAUUCUCAAACAUGGCAAAAUAGUCCAAUACGUAAAAUUUAAAUUUGUUAGUGCCACUUUCGCGAUGAUUUAUGCUACUUAAAAUUUUCUUUUGUUUGUUGACCAAUAGUGAAAUUUGGUUUAGAAUCAUUUCUCCUUUGACGUCGUACCCAAAAAUUGUGAUUUUGUGGACACUUUCGGAAGUUUAUCAAAAACAUGUGAAAAUAACACCACGUAGUCCUUAAUUUUAUACCUUCAAGUUGUUAUUAAAUGAUUAAUCGCAAAUACAGAUUCUAUUUGUUUCGAGUCUUCCUACUUUUACCUACCCAUAGCAAAUUUGAUGUAGGACAUUUUUUCAGUUGACAAGGUAUCCAACAAAUGUCAUUGUCAGCCUGUUUUAAAUCGAUUCCGAAAAUAAAAUAAAAAAGUGAAAAAAUUAAUUUAACGCCUUCGAAAAAUUAUCCACCGGCAACGAAGUAAGCAAAAUUCAAAAUUAGGUCCAUCUUUGUUGAUAAUGGAGGAAUGCAGCGGAUUUGGGGCAUGAGCGAUGACAAUCACGGACAAAAUAAGCAAACAAAACAAUGAUUGGAAAUUGUGGCAAUAGUCAUUGUCAAAUGGAAAAAAUAAGGUUUUUGUAGAGAACGGACAAAAUGGGCUAAGCACCAAAUUGUUACCCAAGGGGGAGAGGCGUCAGUUAAAAAAAGUUCAAGACAAAUGGGGACCAAAUCAAGAUGUGAAUAUUCUUUUAAUUUUGGCUAUCAAUGCUGUCUCAUCCGCAUUGAAGAAGUUGAAAUGGAAACAUUUUAAAUUAGAAAAGAUUCGAUUUUGACAAAAGUUUUAUGAAAAAUCAGUUAUCUAUUGACAACAUCCCCUAAAAAUGUGGUUUCAAUUGUCAUUUCUGUAGUUUAUUAAAAAUAUGGGAAAGUAGCCCAAUAUGUAAAUUUUA